rnacentral:rRNA from 1 species
AUGAACAUGGUUCGUCCUGCUGGGCGUGGUACUGCGAGGGGUGUUGGGCUAUCGCGGAUGCCUACCCGUAGUUCCGUUGGUUUUGGGUCUGGGUUUGGUGUUCGUCCGCCUUCGUUUGCUUUGCGUGGCCGUUCUUCUUUUCUUGCUACCGGCAACCGUGGUGGUCGCCGUGGAAGUGGUGGUUUUCUUGGCGUUUCCCGCCCUGGUUCAUCUUCUAUCCACCGUUCUCCUUUGGGUCGUUUGGUUUCUUCGGCGGUUGGUUCUUCUGUGGUGGGUGGUGCUGUUGAGCGGCCGGGUCGGUUGUCGACUUCCUCGAUGGACUGGGCUGCUUCUGUCCCCGGUUUUUCGGGCGUGCAUGCUAUUAUGUCGUCUAUUUCUGCUGCACCUCCUUCGAUGAGUUAG